rnacentral:rRNA from 1 species
ACGAACGCUGGCGGCGUGCUUAACACAUGCAAGUCGAACGGAAAGGCCCUGCUUUUGUGGGGUGCUCGAGUGGCGAACGGGUGAGUAACACGUGAGUAACCUGCCCUUGACUUUGGGAUAACUUCAGGAAACUGGGGCUAAUACCGGAUAGGAGCUCCUGCUGCAUGGUGGGGGUUGGAAAGUUUCGGCGGUUGGGGAUGGACUCGCGGCUUAUCAGCUUGUUGGUGGGGUAGUGGCUUACCAAGGCUUUGACGGGUAGCCGGCGUGGGAGGGGGACCGGCCACAUUGGGACUGAGAUACGGCCCAGACUCCUACGGGACGCAGCAGUGGGGAAUAUUGCACAAUGGGCGGAAGCCUGAUGCAGCAACGCCGCGUGCGGGAUGACGGCCUUCGGGUUGUAAACCGCUUUCGCCUGUGACGAAGCGUGAGUGACGGUAAUGGGUAAAGAAGCACCGGCUAACUACGUG